GGUGGGGUUCCCGAGCGGCCAAAGGGAGCAGACUGUAAAUCUGCCGUCAUCGACUUCGAAGGUUCGAAUCCUUCGACUUCGAAGGUUCGAAUCCUUCCCCCACCACCA
rnacentral:tRNA from 1 species